rnacentral:lncRNA from 1 species
CAUCCUAACUUUCAUUGAACAACCAUAAUUAUUAUAUAUAUUUGCUAUAUCUUCUUGGAAUUGAUUUGAUUCUUGUUUUAUGAUUUAUUGGUCCAAUCUUCAUCCGAGUAAUUGUAUCUUUUCUCUCUCAUAAUCUUUCCAAUACAAUCAUAGUCACUUUAUGAUUGUUUUUGAUUAUUGGUAUCAAUUAUGUUUGAGUAUAAUCAACUAG